GUGGGGAAUAUUGGACAAUGGGGGGAACCCUGAUCCAGCCAUGCCGCGUGUGUGAAGAAGGCCUUUUGGUUGUAAAGCACUUUAAGCGAGGAGGAGGCUACCGAGAUUAAUACUCUCGGAUAGUGGACGUUACUCGCAGAAUAAGCACCGGCUAACUCUGUGCCAGCAGCCGCGGUAAUACAGAGGGUGCAAGCGUUAAUCGGAUUUACUGGGCGAAAAGCGCGCGUAGGUGGCCAAUUAAGUCAAAUGUGAAAUCCCCGAGCUUAACUUGGGAAUUGCAUUGGAUACUGGUUGGCUAGAGUAUGGGAGAGGAUGGUAGAAUUCCAGGUGUAGCGGUGAAAUGCGUAGAGAUCUGGAGGAAUACCGAUGGCGAAGGCAGCCAUCUGGCCUAAUACUGACACUGAGGUGCGAAAGCAUGGGGAGCAAACAGGAUUAGAAACCCGGGUAGUCC
rnacentral:rRNA from 1 species